CGCGAGCAGGUGCGAAAGCAGGUCAUAGUGAUCCGGUGGUUCUGAAUGGAACGGGCCAUCGACUCAACGGAUAAAAGGUACUACCGGGGAUAACAGGCUGAUACCGCCCAAGAGUUCAUAUCGACGGCGGUGUUUGGCACCUCGAUGUCGGCUCAUCACAUCCUGGGGCUGAAGUAGGUCCCAAGGGUAUGGCUGUUCGCCAGUUUAAAGUGGUACGCGAGCUGGGUUUAGAACGUCGUGAGACAGUUCGGUCCCUAUCUGCCGUGGGCGCUGGAGAACUGAGGGGGGCUGCUCCUAGUACGAGAGGACCGGAGUGGACGCAUCACUGGUGUUCGGGUUGUCAUGCCAAUGGCACUGCCCGGUAGCUAAAUGCGGAAGAGAUAAGUGCUGAAAGCAUCUAAGCACGAAACUUGCCCCGAGAUGAGUUCUCCCUGAGACUUUAGGUCUCCUGAAGGAACGUUGAAGACGACGACGUUGAUAGGCCGGGUGUGUAAGCGCAGCGAUGCGUUGAGCUAACCGGUACUAAUGAACCGUGAGGCUUAACCUUACAACGCCGAAG
rnacentral:rRNA from 1 species